AAUUAAUGUAUAGAUUUGGGAACUAUAUCCCGGUGGAAGGCAUUUGAUAAACUUUAACGCAGAGGACAAUGCUUUCUAAGGAAAUCAGGAUACGAGCCUUGUGUCACUGACAGGAGCUGGUGCAGGUUAAGAAGAAGAAUGAAAAUACAUUAAGCUUGCAGAGAAACCAUCCUUUCUGCACGGAUGUGAGAGCUUUAGAGCAAGAGCAGCUUAGGGGAGAUAAGCCCAGCUCUUAUUCCCAGCAAAAGGGAAGUGGAGUUAAGAACAUUUUAUAAGAAUCAGUGUUGAACUAGGUAGGGGUUUACUUGGCCAUCAAGAGUGCAGUUUUCACUUGCACUGAGAGGCCAGACUUAGGGCUCAGAUAGAAAGGAAUGUGCUUCCCUAGCACCCAAGGGAACUGAGAAAGAGAAAUUUAGCAGCUGCUUCAAAUCUUCUUAGUAGCAGUCGGGGUAUAUAGCUAAACUAACCAAACAAAUAAAUGGCUCUGGUUUUGGACUGGCAGUGGAAAGAAGUGAACUACAAUGGAAACUGGAAACAAUUUAAAAGACAGCUCUGUAGGGGAACAUGAGUGAAAUGGCUUUAUGCAACACAUAUGCUUAUUUGCCUCCUUUGUACCUAAUUUGUACCUAACGAUCUGCUUGGACUAGAUAACCAGUUUAUACAUCCUAAAUGGAUGACAGUGAAAUGGAUCUGGAGUGAAAGCGCACACAUCCCAGGGGCAGAGUGUGAGCUCCUCACGGGACUAUGCGUCUUUGAUAAAGGUACCUAGGGACACAUAGGUAGCGUGAAUUUGUGCCUUCAAACGUAAGAGGACCUGCUUGUUGCAAGAAACUCUCAGGGAAACAUUCCCUACCCACCUGCGUCUAGCCAAAUCCAAGGCUAAACAGCUUUUAUAUACCGACAAAAAAAAAAAUUGGAAAUCACCUGAAUGUUUGCCAGUUGGAAACUGGGUCUGCGUUUGUAAUAUUUUGCAACUCUUAAGAAGAAACAGAAGAAAGGCUGGCGGCCCCUCCUCUUUCCACCAACCCCAGCAUUCAAUAAAUACAGCAGAGUCCACUAUGUUGUUGGAGUCGGGCCUCGCUGGCCGCCCCACAAUCCCCACACCUCUUCCCCCUAGAACCCUGAAGAGGUUUCCUCUCUCUUCUCACAGAAGUGGGGCCAACACUGGUGGUUGGAAGGUCUUGGCUGAUAUCAGUUUGCCCCCUGAGGGGGGUCUACCUCAGACAUGCAGCAAACCCAGGGCCUGGUCCUAUCAGGAUGUUAUAUUUUAAGGAUCAACAAUCAAAACCAAAGAUGGCUUUCCAUGCCCUGGAAGUAAAUGCUCAAUUCAAAAUUGCAAUGAGACAUUUCUCAUGAGCAUCUUCCUCCCACCAUCUUCAUAUUCCUCUUGAAUUUUUUUUUCUUAUUCCCUUUUUAUCAUGUACUGCACGGCAAGUUCUUUGUAUAUAUUAAAUCACUUAAUCCUCAUAAAACCUACUGGCAUUAUUAAAACUAUUUUAUG